CCUACGGGAGGCAGCAGUGAGGAAUAUUGGUCAAUGGACGAGAGUCUGAACCAGCCAAGUAGCGUGAAGGAUGACUGCCCUAUGGGUUGUAAACUUCUUUUAUAUGGGAAUAAAAUGUUCCACGUGUGGGAUUUUGUAUGUACCAUAUGAAUAAGGAUCGGCUAACUCCGUGCCAGCAGCCGCGGUAAUACGGAGGAUCCGAGAGUUAUCCGGAUUUAUUGGGUUUAAAGGGAGCGUAGGUGGAUUGUUAAGUCAGUUGUGAAAGUUUGCGGCUCAACCGUAAAAUUGCAGUUGAAACUGGCAGUCUGGAGUACAGUAGAGGUGGGCGGAAUUCGUGGUGUAGCGGUGAAAUGCUUAGAUAUCACGAAGAACUCCGAUUGCGAAGGCAGCUCACUGGACUGCAACUGACACUGAGGCUCGAAAGUGUGGGUAUCAAACAGGAUUAGAUACCCCAGUAGUC
rnacentral:rRNA from 1 species